rfam:Oryza rufipogon genomic scaffold, chr10
CCAUCGUGUAGCUAUUGGUUUCCAUGACCAACGUUUGAUCAUCCGUCUUAUUUUAAAAAAAAUGAUUAAUAUUUUUAUUGUUAUUAGAUAAUAAAGCAUGAAUAGUACUUUAUGUGUGACUAUUUUUUAAAAAAAAUUUCAUAUUUUUUUCAAAUAUGACGAACAGUUAAACGUUGGUCACGGAAACCCAUAACUGCAAUUAUA